AGUAAGGGUUGGCGCCCAGGCUUUCGGUACAUCGGAAGAGCUCCCGGUGGUUGACUUGUCCAGAGAGGACAGGGAAUCGUUACGAAUUUGCGCACUGAGCGAAUUCCUAAUGGCGCUGCUC
ncrna:unclassified sequences DTF3268 RNA